rnacentral:rRNA from 1 species
CCUACGGGAGGCAGCAGUCGAGAAUCAUUCACAAUGGGGGAAACCCUGAUGGUGCGACGCCGCGUGGGGGAAUGAAGGUCUUCGGAUUGUAAACCCCUGUCAUGUGGGAGCAAAUUAAAAAGAUAUUACCACAAGAGGGAGAGACGGCUAACUCUGUGCCAUCAGCCUCGGUAAUACAGAGGUCUCAAGCGUUGUUCGGAAUCACUGGGCGUAAGGCGUGCGUAGGCUGUUUCGUAAGCCGUGUGUGAAAGGCGCGGGCCCAACCCGCGGACGGCACAUGAUACUGCGAGACUAGAGUAAUGGUGGGGGAACCGGAAUUAUCGGUGUAGCAGUGAAAUGCGUAGAUAUCG